ensembl:lncRNA
AUGAUCCACUUGACAAGUUGUUUGCUGGUGUGCUUGAUAUCUACAGGGAACUAUGUUGCAGCUCAUCAGACAGCCCAGAGAACUUUGCCUCCAGAAGUGUGGCCACCCCAGUUUGUGUGGUCUGGUCCGCCUGUUGAAUGGUUUCCUACAGAAGCGCUUGAAGGUCAAAAACCACGCAGCAGUACUCGAGUUUAUAGCCCAAAGUCGUUCAACCCAGAUCGGCUCCGCAGUGCAAACGCUUUAAACCCUAAUGAUGGCAGCAAAUAUCCGCACAAGAAACCUCAGACUUAUAAUUCAGUGGCCAGCCCAAAGACAUUUAGCAUACAGUUUAAUGCUCCUACCGCAAACGAAGGACAUGACCAUUCACAGUCAUCGACCUAUCCCAACAAACGCCCGCAAGAUGCUUCAAAGCCUGGUUUUCAUUUAAGCUUUUCUCUGCCUCUUCCUACAACCACUGCAGCACCACCAUCUACCACCAGUGCGGCCAAUGCUGGAGUUUCAUAUUCAGGGCCCUCACAGAACAAAUUUUUUCAUAAUCCCUUUAAAGUUCCAGAGGUAAAUAAGUCAUCGUAUAUCUCACCAGUUGCUCAGAUGCAACAGGGUAAGAUUUUUCAUAAUCCUUUUAAAGUGCCAAAGGUAAAUAAGCCAUCAGAUCUCACACCAGUUGCUCAGAAACCACCGCAAAGCAAGUUGGUAUCAUUCUUAAACGAGCUGCUUGUUCAGAGAGGACAGAGUAAUGCCCAAACACAACACAACAAAGUGGUUUUCAAACCAUUGGAACCACAACAGUCCUCACAAAGUCAAAGUGGGCCUUUCUCAAGUCAAAGCCCAAACAACCUCUGGAUGGGUCACACGCACUUUGGAGUUUCCAGUGAUUCAGGAAGUGGCGCCCAGACUCCUGUCCAUCAAGCUGUCCAAAACACUGUAAACGUUCCCCCUCAGUGGCACCAAAUUAACAAGCCACCAUUUUCCGACGAAGAUGUGAAAAAGGAUAUUUUACAGUCUGUGCAAUAUGUGAACGGUCAACUAAUGAUUCCUCUGGAGAAGUGCCCAUGUUAUGAAAAAUUAGCAACUUUAAAAGGUCAUGUUCACCAACACGUGCCCCCUCCCCGCGGUCACGUUCACCAGCAUGGGUUGCCUCCCCGCGGUCACGUUCACCAGCAUGGGUCGCCUCCCCACGGUCACGUUCACCAGCAUGGGUCGCCUCCCCAUGGUCGCGUUCACCAUCACGGGCCGUCCUCUUCACCUAGUGACCAAAUACAGACCCAACCAAAUUAUGACCAGUUUUUAAAUGUACAAGGCACGGCCCAGAGUCCCAUUGAACCACUACAAGAAACAAAUGUCCAGCUGUCCAGAGUGUAUCAAGAAAAUCCGUUCAGGCGGUGGCAACAUUCAUUGUCAAGAGGACCCCAAUAUCCAAAGCCUCAUCAAACCUAUACAUCGUAUGUGCACGAGGAGCCUGAUCAGCAGCAGUCUGGGUCAAACUACAUGGUGCAACCUGACGCCCAAAGUCAGUACUGAUGUCUUCUCUGGCUCCAGAAGCAAAAGUUGGCGGGAUCCAUAUUAAACAAAUUCCCUACUCCAUUAAAGUGAACAUUUGUACUACUUUGACGCAUACUUGUCUUGUUCUCUUACUGACUUAACUUGUGUAUCACACUCAAACAUUUGGUAAGCAAUUUUAAAUCCCAUGCCUGGGGGAAAAAAUACUGUUCACAAAUUAUAAAACAUAUUUGAGGAUUGAUCCUAAAACUGGCAGGUCUGUUGCAGUAAAAACUCCUUGUUUUGAGUUUGGUCUUAGAGAAAUAAAAUUUUAACUGUUUAUUAAAUGGUGAUGGAGUGGAAAUAAUUUGUUUUUAAACUGAAGUAUAUUUUGAAAUGCCUUCAUGGCCCAAAAAAGGGAAUCCAUCUUUGCCAUAUUGCCCCAUCCUAACCUGCUUUUCGUUAUAGGUGGGCACGGGAGUUAUUUGGAUUUUAAUACACUUGAAAGUGCACUAUGCAACUUAAGGAAAAAACAUUUCAUAUUGAACCUUUGUGCUUAACUUCAAAACUCAGCCAAGAUAUUACAUGGGGAGGGACAGGUUACUACAUAGAAAAUAAAGAUCAAUCUUAAUACACGUACUGAAUGGUCCACAUUGUAAAUGAGGUCUGUGCGGUAUUGGCCGUUAAAAUUUAGAAAUCAAACUUUUGUUUUGGCUGAAAAGGCCUGAAAAUGGCACCUAAUACAGAAAAGGUCAUGUGAUUAAAAUCUAUCAAGAUGGACCAUUAAAUAUGAAUAAAACUCUUCUUCUGGAGCCAAUUAUCUAACUUUAUUCUUCCUGGUUAAACACUUGCCCCUAAGCUUUUAGCAUAAUAUCCCAAGACUCCAACAAAAAAGAAAUGCGUCAUACUCCGUGUCUGUUUUACAAUCUUUUUAUAUGAAACAAUUUAACAAAUAUGCUACAUUGACGAACUAUAUACAACUUGACUUGAAGCUGGGAGAGAUAAAAUGUUCCUUCAGGCAUCGGUCAAUGUGACAGCUCCUGACUUUAAUUCAAAUCCUAAUGAAAACUCCGGUGUAAAAUAAACACAGCUUGCGAAACUGACACAUCUGAAAAACACCUGUGCUUCACCUUUUGGAUCGUGAUGACAAAAAAAC